rnacentral:lncRNA from 1 species
UUGACAUUGCUAGAGUAUUGUUUGAUUGGGUCUAUACUCUAGGUGAUAUUUUUCAAGUAGCACAAAGCCUAGUUCGUGUGUUACUUUCCAAAUUGUCAGUGUCUUCUUUCUAGUUUUUUGCGCGCUUCCUUCUUUCUUUAGGUUUUCUUCUUUGUUUCAUUAAACACACCUUGUGGUUGGUUGGUUGACCUUAGUUUCUGAAGUGCAAUUGAAGAAUCAGCAAAAGAAUGGUAAGAGUGCAAACACUUGAGUACUUUUUUUUAACACAAUGUUUGCUAGUUCUUUUUGUUCUUUAUUGAUUUAAGG